GUACACAUAGUUUAAUACAAAACGCUAAAUUGUGGAUUUAGAAUUAGGGGCCCCAACCCCCUUUUAUACC